CCCGAGGAAAAGAAAUCAACCGAGAUUCCCCCAGUAGCGGCGAGCGAACGGGGAGGAGCCCAGAGCCUGAAUCAGCAUGUGUGUUAGUGGAAGCGUCUGGAAAGGCGCGCGAUACAGGGUGACAGCCCCGUACACAAAAGCGCAUGUGCUGUGAGCUCGAUGAGUAGGGCGGGACACGUGGUAUCCUGUCUGAAUAUGGGGGGACCAUCCUCCAAGGCUAAAUACUCCUGACUGACCGAUAGUGAACCAGUACCGUGAGGGAAAGGCGAAAAGAACCCCGGCGAGGGGAGUGAAAAAGAACCUGAAACCGUGUACGUACAAGCAGUGGGAGCACAGGUUUACCUGUGUGACUGCGUACCUUUUGUAUAAUGGGUCAGCGACUUAUAUUCUGUAGCAAGGUUAACCGUAUAGGGGAGCCGGAGGGAAACCGAGUCUUAACCGGGCGUUAAGUUGCAGGGUAUAGACCCGAAACCCGGUGAUCUAGCCAUGGGCAGGUUGAAGGUUGGGUAACACUAACUGGAGGACCGAACCGACUAAUGUUGAAAAAUUAGCGGAUGACCUGUGGCUGGGGGUGAAAGGCCAAUCAAACCGGGAGAUAGCUGGUUCUCCCCGAAAGCUAUUUAGGUAGCGCCUCGUGAAUUCAUCUCCGGGGGUAGAGCACUGUUUCGGCUAGGGGGCCAUCCCGGCUUACCAACCCGAUGCAAACUGCGAAUACCGGAGAAUGUUAUCACGGGAGACACACGGCGGGUGCUAACGUCCGUCGUGAAGAGGGAAACAACCCAGACCGCCAGCUAAGGUCCCAAAGUCAUGGUUAAGUGGGAAACGAUGUGGGAAGGCCCAGACAGCCAGGAUGUUGGCUUAGAAGCAGCCAUCAUUUAAAGAAAGCGUAAUAGCUCACUGGUCGAGUCGGCCUGCGCGGAAGAUGUAACGGGGCUAAACCAUGCACCGAAGCUGCGGCAGCGACACUCAGGUGUUGUUGGGUAGGGGAGCGUUCUGUAAGCCUGUGAAGGUGGCCUGUGAGGGUUGCUGGAGGUAUCAGAAGUGCGAAUGCUGACAUAAGUAACGAUAAAGCGGGUGAAAAGCCCGCUCGCCGGAAGACCAAGGGUUCCUGUCCAACGUUAAUCGGGGCAGGGUGAGUCGACCCCUAAGGCGAGGCCGAAAGGCGUAGUCGAUGGGAAACGGGUUAAUAUUCCCGUACU
rnacentral:rRNA from 6 species